UCUUGGUUUAUGCUUCAGGUAGAGCUCGAGCUGAGCUUUUGCUCGCCGUCCACCACUGCUGUUUGCCGCCGUUGCAGACCCACGACUGACUUCCAUCCCUCCAGAUCUGGCAGGGCACCUCCUGAUCCAGCGAGGUGCCCAUUGCCACUCCCAAUCGGGCUAAAGGCUUGCCAUUGUUCCUGCACGGCUGAGUGCGUGUGUUCAUCCUAAUCAAGCUGAACACUAGUCACUGGAUUCCACAGUUCUCUUCCAUGACCUGCGGCUUCUGAUAGAGCUAUAACACUCACCGCAUGGCCCAAGAUUCCAUUCCUUGGAAUCCGUGAGGCCAAGAACCCCAGGUCAGAGAAUACAAGGCUUGCCACCAUCUUGGAAGCGGCCCGUCGCCAUCUUGGAAGCGGCUUGCCACCAUCUUGGGAGCUCUGUGCGCAAGGACCCCCCAGUAACACCACCACACCCGGCUAAUUUUUGUAUUUUUAGUAGAGACAGUUUUCACCAUGUUGGCCAGGCUGGUCUUGAACUCCUGACCUCAGGUGACCCACAUGCCUCGGUCUCCCAAAGUGCUGGGAUUACAAACAUGAGCCACAGUGUCCAGUCCUCUGUUUUAUUUUUAACUGAAAAGUCUGAAACUUAUUGCUUGCUGUCUCCCAAACAGAAUGCAAGCUCAGUGGGGCAGGUACUUUGUUUAUCUUUUUCACUGAUGUAUCUCCAGCACCUAGCAUAUGGUAAAUGUUCAUUAAAUUUGUUAAAUUAAUGCAGAAAUGAAAAGCAGAAAUUGGACCUCUUCUUACAGUUCUAUACUUUAUCCCUAGAAUUUCUGAGAAGUCAGUUUGAUCAUGCAAUGUAUUCAGUUUGUAAAUUUAUAUUUUUAUUUAUCUAUUUAUUUUCGAAUAAACCUU
rnacentral:lncRNA from 10 species